rnacentral:rRNA from 1 species
UGACCAGACUCCUACGGGAGGCAGCAGUGGGGGAUAUUGCACAAUGGGGGGAACCCUGAUGCAGCGACGCCGCGUGGGUGAAGAAGUAUUUCGGUAUGUAAAGCCCUAUCGGCAGGGAAGAAUUUAGACGGUACCUGACUAAGAAGCCCCGGCUAACUACGUGCCAGCAGCCGCGGGAAUACGUAGGGGGCAAGCGUUAUCCGGAUUUACUGGGUGGAAAGGGGGCGCAGACGGCAGCGCAAGCCAGGAGUGAAAGCCCGGGGCCCAACCCCGGGACUGCUCUUGGAACUGCGCGGCUGGAGUGCAGGAGGGGCAGGCGGAAUUCCUGGUGUAGCGGUGAAAUGCGUAGAUAUCAGGAGGAACACCGGUGGCGAAGGCGGCCUGCUGGACUGCGACUGACGUUGAGGCCUGAAAGCGUGGGGAGCAAACAGGAUUAGAUACCCUCGUAC